rnacentral:lncRNA from 13 species
CCAUGCUCUGUUGAAUCCCAUCUUAAAAUUCUCACUCCCAGAUGGGACUUAGAGAGAGAAAAGGAAUCUCAAUCUCACUGACUCAUUGCUGGUGGCAUCUCAGAGAUGGCUGCUUUCUCUUCCGUGAGGGUAUCAGAGCCCUCUUGUGCCUCUAAAGGAUCUGCUCUGUUCUAGGGCAUCGAAAUCCUGUGAGUUAUGGACAUGGAGCCAGUCUAUCUCAUCCUGCAUCAAGGAGAAAACAUCUUAUCUUCAAAAGCCACCUCCCUCUGCUUCACCAGCCUCCCUUCCUCUAUUCACUUCUGUACUCUAAUCCAUUCAAGUCUUG